UUCAGUCACCUUCCUUGACUGAAACAAACCAUUCUAUUAUCUCCUUCCCUUUUGUGGGAUUCACUCUAGCCAGCCAGCCGGUACUUUACCAUUCACAUUUAAAGGUUCCGACUUCCAACCUAUUUCCUGACUUUGUUAUCCUCCAGAGCCUGUCAAAAUAAUACCCCUUUUACCUUCUGCAGUUUCACCAUUUUCAGGUAGUGUAUUAAAACAUAUAUCCUCCAAUGGCAUCCAACUCUCUUGCUUCUUCACGUACCUCUAGCUCCUCUUGGACCCCUGAGGAGAACAAAAGGUUUGAAAGGGCCCUGGCUGUUUAUGAUAAGGACACCCCUGAUCGCUGGCAGAAGGUUGCCAGAGCUGUGGGCGGAAAAUCUGUAGAGGAGGUGAAGAGGCAAUAUGAGAUUCUCAUUGAGGAUGUCAGGGACAUUGAAUCUGAUAGAGUCCCAAUUCCCGAAUACAGGUGAAAGAAAAUGUUAAGUAAGGCUAUGGCUUUGAGUAUGAAGAGUAGAGGUAAAUUCACUAGUAACUACUUGCCUUCUACUUAAUACCAGAGCCAAAUACUCGCUUUGCACUUCAGUUUUCAAAACUGCCUUCCACAUGUAUCUCUCUCACUUUUACAUUUCAGCUCUAAGUAACCCAGUUAAACGUACAUCCCUACGUAGCUUGGGAAUAAAGAAUAAUGCUUUUGCUCUUGAGUCUGGCUUUUUCUAAAUCGUGAUCAAUGACAACAACUUCAUGUCACUUAUGCUUUCUUUUUUCUGAUUUUAUUGAUCAACCUUCGCUUUUGUCGGGGAAUACUUUUUACGAGUGAAAAGUUUGGGGUUACAAGAAAAUCCCAAAACCAAGGUUCGAAACAAUCUAAACAUAAAAUUAUACUGGAAGGAUGCUAUUCAUUCAAUAGAGACAUCGUUUAAAAAAUGAUAUGUCGGCAGCAAUGCAUUUUAAGCUUCUUCCAGGUCCUCUUAACCGUAGAAGAUCCAGUUAAUUCCUGCAACAUCAUGGCCUUGUCCUUAGAAUUAAGCAAUUCCUGCUGUAGGGCAAGGCAAUAAUACUAUGAACACUGAAGAGCUAGUUCUACGUACGUGGUCCAUCAAUUUCUCCAACUGACGAUAAGUCUAACAUCCUAUACACCAAACUGCUUAUUUUCACUUUAUUUAAUGAAAAAAAGCCAACGCCUGACCACAUUCAUGCAACUUCUUAUCCUGUCACUAAGCAGAAGAAACCCCACAUGAGAUAUGAUCCUACCAAUUCUGGAUAACAUGUCAAUGAAAGUCCAAUGCUCAUCAGUUCAAAGAACUGCCAUGAAACUUUUGUUAUUUUCCCCGUCCACUGUCCUCAGUCAUUCAGAACCAGUUCUUUCUGAACCCCUCUGAAACUUUUGGUUGCAGUACUGCUGCUUUAAUUGACAGCUUUUCUAGAGUUUGGAUGUUUUCUGACUUUCCCAUACUAUUCAUAACCUUUGCCAGAUUAAUAAUUGUUUUCCUUCAGGCUAAAACUACUUUUCAUUACUAUCUG